GGGGGAGCUUGGCUCUAGAGAGAGGAGGUCUCCUUUAUGAACCGAGGCAUGUCCUUGAAGGGUAGGGCAAUGUCCUCCCCAUUGCAUUUCUGGGGAAACUGAGGCCCAAGGAAAAAUAGGAAUUGGUCCCCAGUCACACAACCAGGGCAUGCUAGAGCUAGGGCUGGCACCCAACUGAGUCUAGAAGCACCACACCACUGGCUCUGGCCCUCUGUGCUGUGCUCUUGGCCCUCCCUGCAGCAAUUCAGCACACACUACAGAGACUGCCCCGUGCAGACAGCAGCAUUUAACCAGCAUUACUCCCGGCACAACCUCGGGGAGGGCGAGGGGCCCGAUGACUGAACAAAAGGAGCACUAGGAAACGGAUCAUAGAAAUAGAAAGAGGGACACAGAGAGGGAAAGGAGGGUACGUGAGUAGGGGAGCAGGAGGGAACGCAUGGGAGAGGGAAACAGAGAAGUAAGGAGAGGCAGAGAAAGUUAGAGAAAGAAAAGAGAGAGGUGAUGAGGUGCCCAGAACGAGUGGAAAGAAAGGACAAGAUCACCUCCCUCCCCCAGCUAGUUCCGAGCCCCUCCCAGCACAGACAAAGCCUGUGGGGUAGAGAGAGGAUUGCACAGACAAAGCCUGUGGGGUAGAGAAAGGACAGGGAGGGAGGAAGGGUGGGAGGGCUGCUUGGGGAGCAGGGCAAAGGCGGAGCGGGCAUUAAAAUCGGUUUCUGGGAGGCAUCUCCUGCCAUCCCACAAUGCCUCAAGCUCCCUGAGUGACCUAGCGCAAACACACCAGCCCGCCUCCCACCGUGAUGUGGCACUUCUAGACUCAAGUGGGCUAAUCUGCGACGGGACGCUAAGCAAACACCCCCUCAGCCAGAGAGAGUCAUCACUCCUUCCGGCCCAAGGGGAGACGCAGCUGCAUAAAGAACCACCC
rnacentral:lncRNA from 1 species